ACAUAUUUGUACCAGGAUAGGAUAACAGGUAAUAAUCUAUCAAUGCUACAGGGAGUACGGUUAGAGUUUCCACAAAUUUUGGUAAACUAUACAAUUGUAGAUCUAUCAGACAACAUAUUUGAAGGUGAGAUUCCGAGCGUGAUCGGUAGUCUUACUUCACUGAUAGUGCUCAACCUAUCCCACAACAGCCUCACUAGUCAAAUUCCAUAUGCUUUAGGGGAUCUCUCAGAGAUUGAAUCCUUAGACCUAUCUUGGAAGCAACUCACAGGGGAAAUCCCCCGAAGCCUUGCAGACUUGACAUUUUUAGGAUUCUUAAACGUCUCCCACAAAACCAUCUUGUUGGACGUAUUCCAUCAGGAACACAGUUCAGUAUAUUUGAGACUUCACUCGGAGGGAAUCCGGAAUUCUGUGGGCCUUCGUUACCCAAAAUGUGUGGCCAUCCACAGGAACCACAACUUGAAGUUGAUGAAGAUGGAGAUACAGAGAGCGGAUUUACAUGGAAAGUCAUGAUGUUGAGGUAUGGUUGUUGUACCCUACCUGGAUUAGUGAUUGAGUAUCUCAUGUUGUCCACAGGAAGACCAAAGUGGUUCAACGCAAUUGUUGAUGCAGGAGAACACAUAAUCAGAACAAGGAGAAACAGGAGAAGAUAUGUAUAUUUAGGAAAAUGAACUUAGCUUCUGAUUGGUUUGUGGGUGCACGCGGAAUUUUUUGAUCCUGGAUCUCUGAAUCAAGUUGUAGAUCGAUCCUGCUUGGAAUUAUGCAGAAUUUGUUGUUAUGAUGUAUUUCUUAGUCAUGUGCUAAUCUUAAAUCUUGUUGACAUUACUAAGUAUUGAAAGUAUGUGUAUGUCAAUUGCAGAUAAUGAACUCCAUUGAUACGGCACAUAAAAAACACAUGUUGGAGGAGUGAAACACAAAAUCGACUUCACUAACACUAUAGUUUGAUCGAUGUUUAAAAAAACCAUCAGACUUUUAAAAGUUAUAAACAACAAAAGGAAGAGAAAUAAAGGUUAAUUAUCCUCAUAAUCACCAAUCAUACUGAUCUCUUAAGUCUUAUGUUUAUUUCCUGCUUGUAGAUACAUUGCUGGUGCAUUUUUACAAUGUCAAUUAACAAUUGGAUUUUGUAACCCUUUACAGGAGGAACCUUGAAUUUCAAUAAACAAUUCUCUGUAAAUACUUACAUUGAAAGAAGCUUCAUUGAUACUUUCAUAGUGUUGUUAACAUUAUUGAAAUGAAAUUUGAAAAUUUUGCACAAAUACCUAAUUGAGGGCCUACUCACCAAAUUUCAAAGUCUUCCAUUCACAUGUACCAUUGGAUCACACAAUAUUCAUAAGAGCUAGUUAAAUUACUUGGAAAAAGACCAUAAGUUUUUUUAAAAAAAAUUUUUCAUUCCAGAAUGUUGCUUUAGAGUAGUUGACAAUUAGAAUCUUCUUGUUUUUAUUUUAUUUUAUUGCUGGACUAUAAUCUAU